GUGAAUCAUCGAAUCUUUGAACGCACAUUGCGCCCGCCAGCACUCUGGCGGGCAUGCCUGUUCGAGCGUCAUUUCAACCCUCAGGCCCCCAAAGCGCCUGGCGUUGGGGAUCGGAAGCCGCCGCGGGAGAGACCUCUGCGUCCCCCCCGCGGCGAUCCGGCCCCGAAAUCUAGUGGCGGUCUCGCUGUAGUCCUCCUCUGCGUAGUAGCACAACCUCGCACUGGAACGCGGCGCGGCCAUGCCGUAAAACACCCCACUUCUGAAAGUUGACCUCGGAUCAGGUAGGAAUACCCGCUGAACUUAAGCAUAUCAAUAAGCGGAGGA
rnacentral:misc_RNA from 1 species